rnacentral:rRNA from 1 species
GUUAGCCUACGGGAGGCAGCAGUGAGGGAUAUUGCACAAUGGGGGAAACCCUGAUGCAGCGACGCCGCGUGUGGGAAGACGGUCCUCUGGAUUGUAAACCACUGUCCCCAGGGACGAAAAUGACGGUACCUGGGGAGGAAGCACCGGCUAAAUACGUGCCAGCAGCCGCGGUAAUACGUAUGGUGCAAGCGUUAUCCGGAUUUACUGGGUGUAAAGGGAGCGCAGGCGGCACGGCAAGCCUGAUGUGAAAGCCCGCGGCCCAACCGCGGGACUGCAUUGGGAACUACCGGGCUGGAGUGCCGGAG